rnacentral:rRNA from 1 species
GUAGGGUGCGAGCGUUAAUCGGAAUUACUGGGCGUAAAGCGUGCGCAGGCGGUUUUGUAAGCCAGAUGUGAAAUCCCCGGGCUUAACCUGGGAAUGGCAUUUGGGACUGCAAGGCUGGAGUUUGGCAGAGGAGACUGGAAUUCCUGGUGUAGCAGUGAAAUGCGUAGAUAUCAGGAGGAACACCGAUGGCGAAGGCAGGUCUCUGGGCUGAAACUGACGCUCAUGCACGAAAGUGUGGGGAGCAAACAGGAUUAGAUACCCUGGUAGUCCACGCCCUAAACGAUGUCGACUGGUUGUUGGGGGUUUGACACUCUCAGUAACGAAGCUAACGCGUGAAGUCGACCGCCUGGGGAGUACGGCCGCAAGGUUA